GGGUGAGUAACACGUGGGUAACCUGCCCAUAAGACUGGGAUAACUCCGGGAAACCGGGGCUAAUACCGGAUAACAUUUUGAACCGCAUGGUUCGAAAUUGAAAGGCGGCUUCGGCUGUCACUUAUGGAUGGACCCGCGUCGCAUUAGCUAGUUGGUGAGGUAACGGCUCACCAAGGCAACGAUGCGUAGCCGACCUGAGAGGGUGAUCGGCCACACUGGGACUGAGACACGGCCCAGACUCCUACGGGAGGCAGCAGUAGGGAAUCUUCCGCAAUGGACGAAAGUCUGACGGAGCAACGCCGCGUGAGUGAUGAAGGCUUUCGGGUCGUAAAACUCUGUUGUUAGGGAAGAACAAGUGCUAGUUGAAUAAGCUGGCACCUUGACGGUACCUAACCAGAAAGCCACGGCUAACUACGUGCCAGCAGCCGCGGUAAUACGUAGGUGGCAAGCGUUAUCCGGAAUUAUUGGGCGUAAAGCGCGCGCAGGUGGUUUCUUAAGUCUGAUGUGAAAGCCCACGGCUCAACCGUGGAGGGUCAUUGGAAACUGGGAGACUUGAGUGCAGAAGAGGAAAGUGGAAUUCCAUGUGUAGCGGUGAAAUGCGUAGAGAUAUGGAGGAACACCAGUGGCGAA
rnacentral:rRNA from 1 species